GGGUCAAGGGCUGGACCCUUCAGAGGUGGGCUGGGUGCAGGGCACCCUCCUUCAAGUUGCUGUCUUGGGGAGAAGCCCAGCCUCGUGAUUAGUCUUGGGGACCAGGAGGGCGCCCCAUGAGCCCCAGGCCUCUCUGUCCGCGCCAGCCAGGGGUUACCGACCGGGGAGAUGGAUAGGCGGGCUGCACACCUGUGGGCUGCGUCUGCCCGCAGGGCAGUCGGCCUGGCCAGAGGGAGGAGGCUGAGAAGUCCUCCUCCAGGGAGGACACCCAGCCAGGGACCGUCCACAGGGAAAGGGGGAGGGGCGGGAGGUCUAAUCCCAAUACUUUAGAAGCGCCCCUCCCCCCUCUGCGGCCUGGUUCCGAGCUCUGCUGGGGAGGGUGCUCUCAGCCGGACGGAGAUGCCCAUGUGAUGGAGGGGGACUGUUAGGCCACGCGCAUGAUCUCCCCAGUGGUUGUGGACAGGUGUCCUCCCCCUUGAAUUGCGUGAACCCAAGUGUCAAGGGUAUGGCCUCCAUCAUAUGGCCUGCGGACCCAGGGCGGGCAGGUAAAAGGACUGUGCUGAUGGCCAGCCCACAGGAACCCUCCCCCGUCGGGGACUGCAGCGGUCUCGCAUUGCCCAGACGGCCCCGGACGACAUCCAGCCACUCCCAAGGCCAGCGAGUCCUCCCUCGGUUCUCCCUGCCUCUGGCUGCCCACACUGCGCGUGGAGCCGAGGCGUGGGCAGAGGGAGCCGGCGGGGAAGGGGUUAAGGAGAUCAGUAGGUGGACGGAGUCCGCUGAUGUCACUGGAUGCAGAGGCCCUUGGGAAGCCCAGAGGACCUUUAUCAUGGAAAUGAUUGUUUAGGCCCCAGCUCUGCCCCCGCCUCUUCCAGCUCCUGCCCCGUCCCUGGUCCCGGAUCUUAAAAGGAGACUUUAAUCAAUGCACCACGGACCCAGAGGAGCAGGGAGCCCCGCCCCGCCCCCCCACUGUCCCCUUAAUACGCCUGAAAAGCACACCCACCUCCUCCGUCUGGCCGGGUCCCCUUCCCGACAGUCUCAAUGCCUCAGAAGACAUUGAACCCAGGCUGCCCACAGUCCCAGCUGCUCCCUUUUUUCUUUUCACCUUGCUUUCUGAAAGCUGUUGUUAUACUCUCCGUAACAUCGUCUGUUUUAAUUUCAUGUCGUUCUGGAUCUUCUAUAAAAACGUGAGCAUUUGGAUUUUUAAAAAGAACGUCUCCAUUUUAGAUAGCCCCUUUUGAUGUUAAUAUAUAUAGUGAGUCCAAUGUACGCUUUAGAAGUAAAGACAUUGACCAUCA